AUCUGGGAAACCCUCAUCUUGUCAGAGAGCAGGUCCUCAAAGCAAAGGGAAGCCCGAAGAGCAAGUGUGUGAGCUGGCAAAAGAGCACAUUAGCAGAAAGCGGCCAGAUCUGAGUGGCCCGAGGGACAGCCGCUCGCCGCCGGUUCCUCACCUGUGUAAUGAGGAUUAAAAACCUCAGCCUUUUAGGAUUGUGGUAGCGCUGGAAGAAAUCCUCUAGCAAAGUGUUCAGCCCCAAAGCAGCUAAACGGAAGUGGGGACGCAAAGAGAGGGUGGAGACACUUAGAAGAGCAAUUCUGACUCUGCCUUUGCCCUAUCUCAGCAAAAUUAUUAUAUUUUUUGAAAUUGUAAUUCAGCUAUUGUAUAUUUUUUAAGAGACGGACAGUUUAUUCAUCAAUCCCACCAAUCUGGGACCCCAGGCCAUUUCCCUGCUGGCACUUCAGUCAUCGAACACUAUCUCCGAGCCUGGAAAUGAUCAUUCUCUGGUGAGGAAGUUAGAGCAUUGGGGGAAGAAAGUUAAACAGUGCUCUGGGUUUUUUUUAUACAUUUUUUAAAAAAGAUUUUAUUUUUCCUUUUUCUCCCCAAACCCCCCUGGUACACAGCUCUGUGUUUUUAGUUGUGAGUCCUUCUAGUUGUAGAUACAUUUUUUUUAAAGAUUGGCACCUGAGCUAACAACUGUUGCCAAUCUUCUUUUUUUUUAAUUCUUCUCCCCAAAGCCCCCCGUACAUAGUUGUAUAUUCUAGCUGUGAGCACCUCUGGUUGUACUGUGUGGGACACUGCCUCAGCAUGGCCUGAUGAGUGGUGCUAGGUCUGUGCCCAGGAUCCGAACCAGCGAAGCCCUGGGCCACCGAAGUGGAGUGUGCGAACUUAACGACUCAGGCACGGGGCCAGCCCCAACAGUGCUCUGUUUUUUGUUUUUUUUUUAAAGAUUUUUUAUUUUUUCCUUUUUCUCCCCAAAGCCCCCUGGUACAUAGUUGUGUAUUCUUUUAUUUGUGGCAUGUGGGACGCUGCCUCAGCGUGGUCUGAUGAGCAGUGCCAUGUCCGCGCCCAGGAUUCGAACUAACGAAACACUGGGCCGCCUGCUGCGGAGUGCGCGAACUUAACCACUCGGCCACGGGGCCAGCCCCAACAGUGCUCUGUUUUGAACGUAGUUUCUGCAAGGUUCUCUAGGUGAGGAUGAGUGAGGGAAAGAAUGAAAUGAUGGUUUUCAUCUUCAUCCCUUGUGGUUAGGCAUGGUUACUCUCAGUCUAUUGUUAGAGCUGAUUGCAUUUCCAUAUCUCUACCUUCCUUCAGACACAAUGCUCUUAACUGCCGGAAACUAUUAGCAUAUUUCAGCAAAAUUUCUUACAGCAGAAGUAUGACACACGGUGAUAAUUCUUUUCAUCAGAAGAAUGAAACUGGAAGUUUGGGACAUUCCUGUUCACAAAGUUACGCAUCCACAGCUUCCCUCUUUGAUGGUUUUUUUCCCCUAGUCCAUAGACUAACUACAUCCAGAACAAGAAGGGUGCAUGUGAAUUUUAUAAAGAGAAUAUGAGAUAUUUGCUAUGACAAAUCUAAUGUACUGGCCUGCAUUUACUAGAGAGGUCCAAAACAGGGGCCUCUCAAAGUCUACACUCAAACUCUAAGUGAGCUCAUUACCAUGGAGAAAAUGCCCCUUAAAAUGGGUGAGGAAACUGGUGCAGAAAUCAAGGGUCUGAUGUCUGCGUGUGUAGAAAAGCCCGAAGCCUUAUUGUGCAGGCAGCAUUCUACAGGAGGUGUGGAGAGCACGGCCACCCACGAAACGCCAGCAAAGUCCUACAGAGCUCACGGGACUACGGUCAGGGCUGCCACAGCUAUUGCUUAUGUUAUGCUCCAAGUUCCUUCUUUGAAAAUUAAACCAUUGCGGAAUUAAAAAUUGAUAUAUGAACUUAUCAGAGGUACCAGAUGAUCAGCGUCUGGAUGACCGUCUUUCCUUCCUCACAGUCCCCAAGAGCUGGUAAUUCGUGAUCUCCCACGCGAACAAAUCUGAAUUUAGAAAGGAUAAGUGAAAACCCUGACCACCUGCUUACUCCC
rnacentral:lncRNA from 1 species